UACGUAGGGGGCAAGCGUUGUCCGGAAUCAUUGGGCGUAAAGAGCGCGUAGGCGGCCCUGUAAGUCCGCUGUGAAAGUCAAGGGCUCAACCCUUGAAUGCCGGUGGAUACUGCAGGGCUAGAGUCCGGAAGAGGCGAGUGGAAUUCCUGGUGUAGCGGUGAAAGUGCGCAGAUAUCAGGAGGAACACCGAUGGCGAAGGCAGCUCGCUGGGACGGUACUGACGCUGAGGCGCGAAAGCGUGGGGAGCAAACAGG
rnacentral:rRNA from 1 species